rnacentral:rRNA from 1 species
UACGGAGGGUGCGAGCGUUGUCCGGAAUCACUGGGCGUAAAGGGCGCGUAGGCGGCCGUUUGCGUCGGAUGCGAAAGCCCGGGGCUCAACCUCGGAACGGCAUUCGAUACGGGACGGCUGGAGACCGGGAGAGGAGUGUGGAAUAGCCAGUGUAGAGGUGAAAUUCGUAGAUAUUGGCUGGAACACCGGUGGCGAAAGCGGCUCUCUGGCCCGGUUCUGACGCUGAGGCGCGAAAGCGUGGGGAGCAAACAGG